UCUGCGAGUUGACUUUAAAUUAAGAAAUUAGAGUCAUUUUUAAUCAAGAUAAAUUUGAAUUAACAUAAUUUACAUAAUAUAAUUAAAAAAGGAGCCUCACAUCUCCACUUGUUAUGCGCUCGCACUUUGUACUUUCACGAUCCUUAUCAAAACCAAAACAAAUUUGUCGAAAAAGAUUAGAUAACAAUCUCCAAACGCUGACUGUAAACCUCCAAUUCUACAUUUUUUGUUCGUGGUUUUUUUAUUCCUCUAGCAAUGAGCAGCGACUCCGAAUUAAAAUCCCUGGUAGACCCUUGCCACCUGGAGGCAGCCCUCCGCCAGAAAUACGGACCGGGGGUGAGCCGAUUGCGCGACUUUGUGGUGAGCAGGGCGACGGCAAACGUGCUCGGAAUCACUUCGCUCGUCCUGCGAGUGCGAGUGAAUCUGGAAUCGGGUGAAAGAGACUCUUUUGUGGUCAAAAGACUGCCGUUGUGCUCAAAGCAACUUGAGUUGGUUGACAAUUGCAACUCUUUUGAGCGAGAAAUCGAAUUUCUAACCAAGUACGCGCCGAUGUUGCGUCAAAGGGCCGAUGACCAACUUUUGGUGGUAGAUUGUUUUUUCGGCCAAGAUCGCGUGCUUGUGCUUGAAGACUUGUGUGCAAGUGGAUUUAAGUGUCCGGUCGACACCAUCGGCGACCUCCGGUUCAAUUUGUUCACCGAGGAGCACGCGAGGGCCGUCGUCCGGGCGCUCGCCAAGCUGCACGCGGCCUCUACGGGUGUUGAUUGGGACAAAAACUUUCCUCAUUUUCUGCCUCACAACCCGCUUUUUGACGGAGCAGACGGAGAAUUUUUCAAAUCAACUCUCGAGUCGGCAAUUGAAGGGCUACUUUAUUUGACCGACGAGUUUUUGAAGGAAAUUUACUCGGAAGUGGUAACUUGGUUGCAAGGUGGCGACCUUUUCCACAAAAUGAGGCGAUUCGGAAAGCGUUCUGAUAAAAUGUUAAACGUGCUGAACCACGGCGACCCUUGGGGGAACAACAUUUUGUUUCGGCGGAACGAGCAAACGGGAGAGUUGGAACUGAAAAUGGUCGAUUAUCAAUUGGCGAAGUUCGCGCCGGCCACUUCCGAUUUGCUGUAUUUUCUUUACACAAGUACAAGUUGCGAAUUUCGCUCGCAGCACGAACGCGCCUUGCUCAAGUAUUAUGUCCGGGAAUUCAACGCAGCGGUGGACGAAGAUUACAAGUUGGACUGGUCCGAGUUCGAGGCCCAUUGUAAAGAGUCGCGGCUCUAUGGCCUUUUGUUUGCCGUUUUGUGUCGGCCGAUGCUGCACAUGCACAAAAAGACGCCGAGUAGCGAGAUGAGCGACGAAACUUUCAUGCAGUUUAUGGAAAGGGAUUACAAGGGCCAUGAGCGGAAUCAAAAUUUGAGAGAUGAAAUUUGCGAAAUAUUUGUUGACUUGGUACAGUAUUAUUUUAUUAUACAAAUGAAUAAAAACUAAUUUGAAAUUAUGAAUUUUCGUAUAAGUGUGUAGUAUGAAUGAAAAAAUUAACAAAAGUAUUAUAAAAAUAUAUGGUCUCCUGGUCUCCAAAAAAAUUAUUUUAUUUGAUGACGGGAUAUGCAGGCGAUAAUACAGAAAUAAUGUAUAGAAAAAUUGUGCUGCAAAUAUCUGCGCUUAUGUAUAAUUAUUCUGGAAUAAAAUUAUAAAAAAUUAAAAAUAUUUAUAAAAGAAAAUUAAAUUAUACAAAUAUUCAUGAAAAAUUGUUGAAGUACUGGGAUAAUUUUAUGCUUACAAUUAAGCUUUUAAUUUUUAAACAUAAGGUUUUCUUGUGUAAAUAAAUCAUUAAUCAUUAAUAAUUUGGGCAUUCUCUGCCCAAAUACAUCAUCCAAAAAUUCAAUAUAUUUAAUUUACUUUGUUGAUAGUAAAAAAAUUAACGAAGUCGGAUAAAAAUAUAAUUAGAUUUCAGAUUAGAUGAGAUAAAAGUUUUAAACAUUUGAGCACAAAUUUAAAGUCAUCAACAUGCACAAAAAAUACUUUCAUAACAUGCUAAUGUUGCCCGUAGAACACGUCAAGUCAUUACAUGCUAGUUAAAAUUAUGUCCGAAAAAACUCAAACCGAUCAUAAAUUAGUAAUAAUUUAUUAUGUUUAAUUAACACCAGUACUCUUGGCGAUUUUAAAAUUUUCUAAUAUUUGGUGCUGCAAUUCCAACAUCGCCAUGUCGCCGCUCUUGCAAUUUCUCGAAUUCUCCUUGGUCAUCGAGACCAAAGAAUCCCAAGCCUUCAAAAAGUGCAGAGUUCGUGAGAGUCACCGUCUCCCAGAUCUUUCCCAGGUGCCAAAUGACCGGCCCGGGCGUUCGCCACAAACCUAUACGCACCAACUAGAGGGGGUGACGGAGCGAGGAGUGGGUGGAGGUAUAAAAGCAAAGGUCGCCGCCCUGACCUUUCUUUCGCGAUUACCACUCCAUGCAGGUCACGUCGCAUCUCUCAGCAGCCAUGUCUCUCAAGUGCAUUGCCAUUUUGCUGGUUGUGAGCAGCGUCGCGCUCGCGGGCCGAAAGGACAAGGAUGACUUUCAGCGUCCGAGCCGGUGCCCCUACGCGGACGAACAGUACAGCAUGCAGGACUCCGAGUUUGGCAAGAAGUCUCCGUGC